UAUGUGAUCGUCUCUCGCAUAUCAAUAAGCGGAGGAAAAGAAACUAACAAGGAUUCCCCUAGUAACGGCGAGUGAAGCGGGAAGAGCUCAAAUUUGAAAUCUUAAAGGGUUUCCCUUUACGAAUUGUAGUUUAAAGAAGUGUUUUCUGUUGAGGUUUUGGUAAAAGUUCUUUGGAAUAGGACAUCAUAGAGGGUGAGAAUCCCGUAUUUGACCUUUACUUUCAACUUUGUGAUACACUUUCAAAGAGUCGGAUUGUUUGGGAAUGCAGUCCAAAAUGGGUGGUAAAUUUCAUCUAAAGCUAAAUAUUGGCGAGAGACCGAUAGCGAACAAGUACCGUGAGGGAAAGAUGAAAGGAACUUUGAAAAGAGAGUUAAACAGUACGUGAAAUUGUCAAAAGGGAAGCGUUUGACACCAGUGUUGUUUUUCUGAAAAUCAAUUAAAGAACUGUUUAUGCUAAGUUGUUUAGACUUUAUCAGCUAUCUGUUUAGUUUUAGGCUUUUCUUUAAUGCACUUUUCAGUUAACAAGUCAACAUCAAUUUCUUUUGCUGUAAAAAAGCUUGAGGAAGGUGGCUUGAGAUUCGUCUUAAGUGUUUAUAGCCUCUUGCCUAUGCAGUCGGAGAGAUUGAGGUCUGCAGCGUAGAUCCUUCGGGGCUAAAUGCAUUUGUGCUAAGUUAUAGCAUUUUAUAGACAACUUGUUGACUACGAUUUGUCUUGUAGCUUACUCGCUUAUGUUAUUUUACCUACGCUUAGGAUGUUGAUCUACAGAGCGAGAGU
rnacentral:rRNA from 1 species